UGGGGAAUAUUGCACAAUGGGCGCAAGCCUGAUGCAGCCAUGCCGCGUGUGUGAAGAAGGCCUUCGGGUUGUAAAGCACUUUCAGCGGGGAGGAAGGCGUUAAGGUUAAUAACCUUGGCGAUUGACGUUACCCGCAGAAGAAGCACCGGCUAACUCCGUGCCAGCAGCCGCGGUAAUACGGAGGGUGCAAGCGUUAAUCGGAAUUACUGGGCGUAAAGCGCACGCAGGCGGUCUGUCAAGUCGGAUGUGAAAUCCCCGGGCUCAACCUGGGAACUGCAUUCGAAACUGGCAGGCUAGAGUCUUGUAGAGGGGGGUAGAAUUCCAGGUGUAGCAGUGAAAUGCGUAGAGAUCUGGAGGAAUACCGGUGGCGAAGGCGGCCCCCUGGACAAAGACUGACGCUCAGGUGCGAAAGCGUGGGGAGCAAACAGG
rnacentral:rRNA from 1 species